rnacentral:lncRNA from 1 species
GGCUGGACUUCUUUCUCAUAUCUGAUGUGUUAUUACCUUCUUUAAAAGAUUCAUAUAUAGAAUCAAGCUAUCGAUCAGAUCACUCCAUCAUAGUUUUGCAUUUAGUAUUUAAUGAUUUCAAAAGGGGAAAAGGACUCUGGAAGUUUAAUAAUUCAUUGCUAUCUGACCAAGAAUAUUUAGACACAAUAAAUGUAAAAAUUGAAGAUAUAAAAAAUCAGUAUUCUGCAAUACCACUUUCAGAAAAGCAGAACAUUAUGAAUUCAGAUUUUUUGUUAAGUAUCGAUGAUCAAUUAUUUUUGGAAACCUUGUUAAUGGAAAUAAGAGGUAAAACUAUAGCAUUUAGUAGCUACAAGAAAAGAAAAAAGAGGGACAAAAUAGAAAAUCUGACAAAAGAGAUUCAAAGGGUAGAAGAAAAUAUUAACAGCAAUACUGACUUUCAGAGUCUUGAGGAAAACAAACAAGAGCUUAAAGACAUUAGAGGGAAAAAAUUAAGAGGGAGU